GUCACUUUGGCCGAGUGGUUAAGGCGCGGGCCUGCUAUCAUCUUCACGUGAUACGCUGCAGCUCGUCUCUUCGGAGGCGUAGGUUCGAAUCCUGCAGGUGACG